rnacentral:rRNA from 1 species
ACCGUUAGGAUUUCGUAGUGACCUGCGGAGGAUCAUUAUUGAUUGCGAAUCGUUGCCUUCUGUGCUGGCCAGCUCUGGCAAGUGCACGUUGGUGACUUUCAUCCAAUACCCUGUGAACCUUUGGCCUUUGCUAGCUUCGGCCGGCAGAGGAAUUUACACACACUCGAAUGUAAUGAAAUCUAUUGUCGUGCGCAAGCACUAAUGUACAACUUUCAACAACGGAUCUCUUGGCUCUCGCAUCGAUGAAGAACGCAGCGAAAUGCGAUAAGUAAUGUGAAUUGCAGAAUUCAGUGAAUCAUCGAAUCUUUGAACGCACCUUGCACCCUUUGGCAUUCCGAAGGGUAUGCUCGUUUGAGUGUCAUUGUACUCUCACACUCCCGAUGCUUUUUGGAUCGAGAGCAGUGGACUUGGGUGUUGCUGCUUACCGUGGCUCGCCUCAAAUGGAGUAGUGCAACUCUUGGUUGGACAUAGUACGGCGUGAUAAGUGUCUUCGCCGGCGCCUCACUUUGUUGAGGAUGGCCGAUCGGGAGCUCUGUGCUUCAAACCGUCUUCGGACAACAACUGACAACUUGACCUCAAAUCGAGUAGGACUACCCGCUGAACUUAAGCAUAUCAAAA